rnacentral:lncRNA from 1 species
GCAAGCUGUUCUACUGGUUAAUUGUUCUCACGAUUAGGAAAGUUAACCCAUUUGUUACUUUAUGUUUUAGUAUUUUAUGUAAACAACCUUGUAAAUAUGGAUUAAUUCAAUAACUAAGUUAGACGUGUGAACAUAGCCAAUGAGUUUGAUAUAAAGAUAGAAUUGUUUCUAAAAAUACAAGAAAUGUUCUUGCAACCAACCAUGGAAACCUUUUCUGAAAGAACCGACCAUAUCUAAAAACAUUGGCACUCAGCAGUUCUACUUUAGGGCCAUCUAAUGUUUGGAAUCAUUUAUGCAACAUUUUUCUUCUGCGUAACAGAUUUGUUGAAUGGGUGAUUAGUGGUAAGCAGGAUGUAGAAAUAUGAAGUCCUCUAUAAAUUAAUAGGCCAUAUUCUUUAUAGGUACAUAAAGAAUAUUUGUUCUGUGUCAAUUAUAUGUGUUAAUUUAUUCAGUGAAGAAUUGUCGUGAAUAGUGUUUAAAUCACUCACAAGUAGUUCAAACAUAAAAGAUGACUUUACAAACCCAGUUUUUAAACAAGGUCCACUGAUGGGCAAUAAAAAGUAUUUCAGGCUAAAAAUUGCAUAAUUUGAUUUACACUUUUUUUCUAAGUUGACAGCUUACCUGUUUUAAUUCACUAGGCAGCAUUUUCAUUUGUGGACUUUUUUAAAUUAAACCAUAGGACACCUUCAUUUAUCACAGUAUUACCCACAGUUAUGGCUUUGGAAUGGUUUCGCCAAGAGAUUUUGUCUAUAUGCUGCACUUAAAAACCUAUGAUGGAAAUUUAAUGACAACAAACUCCAUCAGUGUGGUUCAUCCUAAUUUACCUCCAACUCCAGCUUGUAUUCGGGGCACCACUUUUUCUUCUGGCUAUGCCUGUCUUCCACUACCGGGGUAAGGAUUUUGAGCUACUUCACUGCAGAAACUUUUAUUCCUGGGAAAACAUUUAACCUGAAAGCUGGAAGCACUCUAAAUGAACUGGACUCUAUUUAUUUGCCAGAAGUGCCAAAGGAUGGCUUGAUAUUAUUACCUG